UUGGUGUGGUUGUUGCUGGCCCUCUCGGGGGCAUGUGCACACCCACCAUCCUCAUCUCUCCACCUGUGCACCUCUUGUAGACCUGGAUUGACUUUCCGAGGCAACUCGGUCGGGAAGAUUGCUGCGCUCUGUGAGCCAGCUUUCUUUGCAUGUCCAGGCCUAUGUUUUUCAUAUACCCCUAUAGAAUGUAACAGAAUGUAUCAUUGGGCCUUGUGCCUAUAAACCUUAUACAACUUUCAGCAACGGAUCUCUUGGCUCUCGCAUCGAUGAAGAACGCAGCGAAAUGCGAUAAGUAAUGUGAAUUGCAGAAUUCAGUGAAUCAUCGAAUCUUUGAACGCACCUUGCGCUCCUUGGUAUUCCGAGGAGCAUGCCUGUUUGAGUGUCAUUAAAUUCUCAACCUUAUUAACUUUUGUUGAUAAUGGAUUGGAUUGUGGGGGUUUCUUUUGCUGGAUUCUUCACAGAGAUCAGCUCCCCUUAAAUGCAUUAGCUGGUGCCCCGCGUGGACCAUCUAUUGGUGUGAUAAUUAUCUACGCCGUGGAUGUCUGCAAUCAUAUGGGUUUUGCACUGCUUCUAACCGUCUUUUCAUUCGGACAAUACAUGACAAUUUGACCUCAAAUC
rnacentral:rRNA from 1 species